GACCUGGUGAUGCAGUGGUUCGCAUGCGCUCCCGUAAAGAGUGAGACGCGGGUUCAACUCUCGGCCGAGCGUGUCA